UACGUAGGGUGCAAGCGUUGUCCGGAAUUAUUGGGCGUAAAGAGCUCGUAGGCGGUUUGUCACGUCGGCCGUGAAAACUCGGGGCUCAACCCCGAGCCUGCGGUCGAUACGGGCAGACUAGAGUGCUGUAGGGGAGACUGGAAUUCCUGGUGUAGCGGUGAAAUGCGCAGAUAUCAGGAGGAACACCGGUGGCGAAGGCGGGUCUCUGGGCAGUAACUGACGCUGAGGAGCGAAUGCGUGGGGAGCGAACAGG
rnacentral:rRNA from 1 species